CUGAAUUGUUGUUUUUCCACUGUUUGAUAUGGAUUUAUUUUUCAUUGAUGUAUUGGUUGCUUAUUUUGCCAAUGCCUAGCAUUAGAUUAAUUGGUACACAAAAAAAAUUACCUUUCUCCUGCCUUAAUACCGAGCUGUACUAUAUGUCAUCUAAUAUUGUUGCAAGAGGGAUAUGUGUUUUUUUUUUUCUUACAGAAUUGGUGAAAUAUUUGAGAGUAGAGCUCUUGUUUUUCUUACUAGGUCUAUGCUUGUCUUAUACUUGACAGAGAUAAUUGCAUCCAGUUUGGGACUGGAUUUUUGCAUUGUGCUUAGAGGUGUAUUGUUUUUUCUUUCUUGAAUAUGAAUCCUGUAGUGCAUCGUCUCUUCAAAUUGAUUUUUUGGAAUAUGGAUUCAUGCUAUGUCAGUUGUAUGUAUAUGUCCUAUAUCUUGCUUUUAUGAAAUUUGCAUUUUGGAAAUUUACUAGUUAUGUGACUUUAUCUUAUGUUCAGUAGAAAAAACUAUUUGGAUGGAAGCUUAAUGGCAACACAUGGAAGCUUAGGUGCCAUGCAGAAGUCAUUAUUUGAAUUUUGGUUUAAUUUUUUUGGUCCUUUGACAAGAUAUAUAUGAAGAAACUUAUGCUUUUGCUUGCAGACAUUUAUGAUUUACGUGAGAAAUCGCAUUUGGAGUUGAGACCAUUCAUUAAGGCUGUUUGAAAGUUGCAAAGUUUUCUCCAGGUAAUUCUAACUUUACGAUGGAGGUUUAUGGGAUAAAAAAAAAGACUUAAUGAGCAGGAGCUUGAGUUCAAGUGUUAGAAGUUGCAAUCUCCAGAAAACCUGUUCAAAGUCAAGACAAAUUCAUGGACAUCCACAAUGAAUGCGCUGUGGGUUGAACUUGUAAAGCUAUAGUUAGAUUAUUGUUAGUAGUUAUUAUUGAAUCGUUACUUAUUGCCUAAUAACUUUGUGCUCAUUGUUUUGUAUUUUAGUUAUAAUAGAUAUAUUUGGUUACUAGUCUUGUAUUGAA